rnacentral:miRNA from 1 species
UUUGGAAGGCCAAGGCGGAAGGAUCGCUUGAGGCCAGGAGUUUGAGACUAGUCUGGGCAACAUAGUGAGACCUUAUCUCUACAAAAA